rnacentral:rRNA from 1 species
CGUAGGGUGCAAGCGUUAAUCGGAAUUACUGGGCGUAAAGCGUGCGCAGGCGGUUGUGUAAGACAGGUGUGAAAUCCCCCGGGCUUAACCUGGGAAUUGCAUUUGUGACUGCACGGCUAGAGUGUGUCAGAGGGGGGUAGAAUUCCACGUGUAGCAGUGAAAUGCGUAGAUAUGUGGAGGAAUACCGAUGGCGAAGGCAGCCCCCUGGGAUAACACUGACGCUCAUGCACGAAAGCGUGGGGAGCAAACAGGAUUAGAUACCCUGGUAGUCCACGCCCUAAACGAUGUCUACUAGUUGUCGGGUCUUAAUUGACUUGGUAACGCAGCUAACGCGUGAAGUAGACCGCCUGGGGAGUACGGUCGCAAGAUUA